AGUAGAAUUGCUGGGUCAUAUGUUAUUACUCCAACUUUUUGAAAAACUGCCAAGCUGUUUUCCACAGUAACUGCACCAUUUUACAUUCCCACCAGCAAU
rnacentral:pre_miRNA from 1 species